GAGCAACACCUGUGCACCAGAAUGAGUGCACACCAAAAUCUAUCAAACACAACAACAGAACACCACCUGUCUCCAAUUUCUCAGGCCUGAUUCUCAAAGGAGAUUUACAAACCACU